UACGGGGGGGCAAGCGUUGUUCGGAAUUACUGGGCGUAAAGGGCUCGUAGGUUGCCAACUCAGUCAGACGUGAAAUCCCUCGGCUUAACCGGGGAACUGCGUCUGAUACUGGAUGGCUUGAGUUCGGGAGAGGGAUGCGGAAUUCCAGGUGUAGCGGUGAAAUGCGUAGAUAUCUGGAGGAACACCGGUGGCGAAGGCGGCAUCCUGGACCGACACUGACGCUGAGGAGCGAAAGCCAGGGGAGCAAACGGG
rnacentral:rRNA from 1 species